GGUGGUCGAUCGCAAGGUCAGUACUGUUCUGAUUGAGCUCAAAUUUCUUGGGGAACUUGGGUGCUCUUUGCUGAGUGCUCAAGGGAACCGAGACUUUUACUGUGAAGAAAUUAGAGUGUUUAAAGCAAGCAUCUGCUUGAAUACAUUAGCAUGGAAUAAUGAAAUAUGACUGUGGUCUUAUUUUGUUGGUUUCCAAGGCCAAAGUAAUGAUUAAAAGGGACAGUUGGGGGCAUUAGUAUUUCAUUGUCAGAGGUGAAAUUCUUGGACCAAUGAAAGACUGACUUCUGCGAAAGCAUUUGCCAAGGAUGUUUUCAUUGAUCAAGAACGAAAGUUAAGGGAUCGAAGACGAUCAGAUACCGUCGUAGUCUUAACUAUAAACGAUGCCAACUAUGGAUCGGGCGAGUAUAUGUAAAUGUCUCGCUUGGCACGUCAUGAGAAAUCAAAGUUUUUGGGUUCUGGGGGGAGUAUGGUCGCAAGGCUGAAACUUAAAGGGAUUGACGGAAGGGCACCACCAGGAGUGGAGCCUGCGGCUUAAUUUGACUCAACACGGGAAACCUCACCAGGUUUAGACAUGGUUAGGAUUGACAGAUUGAGAGCUCUUUCUUGAUUUUAUGGGGUGG
rnacentral:rRNA from 1 species